UUGUUUGUUUUUUUGAAUUGUUAAGUUGUAAUUCACUUUUAUGUUCAUUCUUACAGUCAUGUUCUUAUGUUCUUUAGAUUGUUAUAUUACAUUUUGUUUAGUUGCAUUUACUUAGAUGUUGUCUUUAUUUUCCUGCAUUUACUCGUUAUGUUCUUCUGUUAGAUCUAUUAUGUUAUUUGCCUACUACCAAUGCAGUUUAACUGAUUUUACAUUGACUGAACAAGGUUGAUUUUAUUUAGGUCUAGUGAAAAUACUGAAGAAGUAUGACAAGAGAACAGGAGCACUUAUCAGGCAGCCCUUCAUCGAAAAGAAUGCGACGGACAAAAUGGAGUGCCAAAGCCGGCACAAUCAGGUGGGAGGGUUCCGGAGUUGGAGGAGAUUAAAUAUAUGCAGAGCUUAUACAUGAAGAGCACCGUAGCAGCGCUGCGGUCCUUGAAACAGAU